CCACUUUCGAUCCUGACUACACGGCGAAGGAUGAGACAGGAACUUUAUUUAUGAAAGGCUAUUCUUGAGGAAACGCAUACGAACCGAUACGAUCGUCAUUGAGUUGUGAACGAACGACAGCCGAUAUCAAUCAGGCUACGAGCAGGUGAACGACGAUGCAAGACAAGUUUCAAGGAGUCGUGCGUGAAUUUGUGCCAUCGACGAUUUACAAGAAAAGUUUUAUCUACUCAUGGCCUCAUUUGCAUAAUUGUACGCUCAAAGUUAGCGUGAACUAGACGAGUUGGAAAAAGCUAAUUGGAUUAUUUUUAUUUUUUCAAAAGGAUCAAUGUAUUUCUAAAUAUAUUUUAAGAAAUGAUUAUUGAAUAUAUUUAUUUGUUGAUGAGUAAAUGGUGUUUGUAAUUAAAGGAUACAAGGUUGCAUAUAUUUCAAAGUUAGCGAUAACUAAUCGAUUUGGAGGAAUUCUGAUUAGAUUAUUUUCACUUUCUAUGCGAGGUUUAAUAUCUUUAUCAAUAUCUCUCUACAAAUACCUUUCGAAUUUUUUUGAAGAUAAAAGAACGAUGUUCAUAAGUAAGAAAUAAGAUUGGAGAUUUAUAUUAUCUUGAGUCAACUGUUUCUAGGAAGGUUUACGGAGCCGAGACUGAGGCCUGAAUAAAAGGAGAAUAAUGAUAGACGGA